AAGCAAAGCAUAUCAGCAGCUAAACAAAUUGGGUUAUGCGCUUUCUUUUUUGAACUUGCUACACUUUUCUCACUCAAUGCUCCGCUCUCUCCGCUCCCGUCGCCGCCCCCGUUACGGAGCACACUUGUGCGCCGUCAUCUCCGCUCUCCUCCUCCUCAUCUCAUUGUCUCUCCUUCAUACCCGUCUCUCUUCCUCUCACUACUAUGGCCGCUACCAUCACCACGGCUACCACANAGCCACUCCCGAAACGACGCUGAUUCAGCCGCCAUCAUUCAUCAAAAUCCCCUUCUAUCUGAUUCCGACGACAACUCAAACGAUGACGUAGUCGACAAGAUCGACGAGCACGAUACCUUCGAAGACCAAAACGACAGCACUGGUUUCAGAAUUGACGAUGAAGAGUUCUCUGAAGGGGACCUUGAAAAUGGCCAAACCAAAAGCAAAAGGAAGAUUUCCUCUUCUGGGUAUUUUGUAGAUCACAUAACCGGAUCGAUUCGCAGAGCUCUCAAUAAACGCUCAAUCGACGAUUGGGAUUAUGAUUAUAAUUCGUUUAGUGUGGGGUUGAACGUAGAGGAUCAAAGCAAGGACGCGUUUGGAAGUGACGAUAUUCCUAUAGAUGAGCAUGUGAGGAGGAAAGUGAACGAGGUUGAUGGGAUUGAGGAUGCCUUGUUGUUAAAGAUUGGGAAAAGAGUUUCUCCAUUAAGGGAAGGGUGGGGGGACUGGUUUGAUAAGAAGAGCGAUUUCUUGAGGAGGGAUAGAAUGUUCAAGUCGAAUUUGGAGAUGUUAAAUCCUUUGAAUAAUCCCUUUUUGCA
rnacentral:misc_RNA from 1 species